CCAGACUCCUACGGGAGGCAGCAGUGGGGGAUAUUGCACAAUGGGGGAAACCCUGAUGCAGCGACGCCGCGUGAGGGAAGACGGUUUUCGGAUUGUAAACCUCUGUCUUUGGGGACGAAUUGAGACGGUACCCAAGGAGGAAGCUCCGGCUAACUACGUGCCAGCAGCCGCGGUAAUACGUAGGGAGCAAGCGUUGUCCGGAUUUACUGGGUGUAAAGGGCGUGCAGCCGGGCUGACAAGUCAGAUGUGAAAUCCCGCGGCUCAACCGCGGAACUGCAUUUGAAACUGUCGGUCUUGAGUACCGGAGAGGUCAUCGGAAUUCCUUGUGUAGCGGUGAAAUGCGUAGAUAUAAGGAAGAACACCAGUGGCGAAGGCGGAUGACUGGACGGCAACUGACGGUGAGGCGCGAAAGCGUGGGGAGCAAACAGGAUUAGAUACCCUAGUAA
rnacentral:rRNA from 1 species